GGCAUCAGAUAAUGAGGACCCUCAUUUCAUCUGCUUUGCCUGUGUAGAAGGUCAACUGUAUGAGCUUGAUGGAAGAAAGUCAGGACCAAUAUCUCAUGGUGUAUCAUCACCAAGUACUUUAUUGAGGGAUGUAGCUAAAGUGAUCCAGAGCAUGAUCCAGAAAAAUCCAGAUUCCCUCAAUUUCAAUGUCAUUGCAAUAUCAAAGAAAUCCGGAGAUCAUUAAGGUAGUUAAUUUGGGUGAAGCAGCUUUUGAUGUCAUCUGCUUUAUAAUCUUCAGUCAUCUGCAGUUUUAUUCACUUUAACUUUAUUUACGUUUUUUUAUUUUCAUUUGGAGGCCUAUCAAGUUGAGCAUCUUUCGUUUCAAAUAGAUGAUGCAGUGCUAGUAAAUUUGAUCUUAAACAAACUUUGACCUUGAA